rnacentral:lncRNA from 1 species
AUUAAUUCAAGUUAUAAAUUUCAAAUUGUAUAAAUUUUCAAAUGAGUUAAAUAUUUAUGAAAAUUAAAGAACAUUCGUUACAUAUAUGUAAAAAAAGGGUCACAAAAGUAAACGGAUGCUUAAAGACAAGCUGUGUUUAUGCUGAAUUUAUACAAUACAUUUAGAAGCAAAUCGUUUUUACAUUGAAUUUACACAAUAAAUAUUAAGAUCGAACUCAGUUCAUGCUAAGACAUCGUUUAAUAAGUUUGAUGUGUUAAUUAUUUAUAGUUAUAGAUUGAUCAAUUGUUAAUUAAAUUGUACGUGGAAACAUAUACAAUAGAAAGAAAUGAAACUUCUAUUGAAAGUUCUAUCAGUUUUUAACAAUAUGAGUAUAUAUUGAAGAAUUAUUAGCAUUUAUUGAAAAAUUGAUUAUAUGAUUGAUCAAAAAUUUUAAAAGAUUUAAAUUGCCGAAUGAUGAAAAUUUUAUUACGAAUGAUAUCCAAAAAAUGACUGAUAAUACAAUGGAUUAUGCAUAUUUAUUGGCGGAUUGAUAAUGCAUUCUUAUGCCAUCUUUAUCCAGAGCAAAUUAUCAUUGAAAUGAUUGUAUUCCUUUCUGGACAUAUUAUUGCCUCAAACAUAGAUGAUCAAAUCAACGAGUUAUCUACUGAGUUGGAUUUCAGCUCUAAUUUUGGCAUGGAUCAUCCUGAUUCCUUCUUGAACAUUUGCACGUUCUAGAUCAUAGAAUUUGUUUAUAACGAUUUGGAUGGAACGAAUUAAUCAUGUUAUAAGAGGAUAAUAAAUCGUUAUUAAGUUCAUAUAUAAAAUUUUCUAUUGAAACUUUCGGAUGUCAGCUGUGUCCAGGAGGAAUUCUUAAUAUUUUGUUAAUAACAUUGUAAUUAUUUUCUUGAAUUAAAAAAAUGAUAUUGAUAAGAUCA